CAGAUGUUUAUUUGGAUUGUAGAUUUGGUUGUCAAAGAUGCAUAUUAUGGGAUGUAUAAUUGUUGGCUUAACCGUUACACUUGUUGAAAGCACAAAUCAAGGCACUGUACGUCUAGCUGAUGGGGGUUAUAAUUGGGGACGAGUAGAGGUUUUUUAUGAUGGCGUGUGGGGAACAGUCUGUAAUCCAAACCAUGAUUAUUAUUUGGAUGACGUUAUUUGCGCCCAGCUUGGAUUGAACAAUAGUAAAUUUUUAGAACGCAUCGAUAUCCCUAAGGCAACGGGUAAAAUUUGGUUGCAAGUUUCCAAGUGUACGUAUGGUUCGUUGUCCGUCCAGAACUGUACCCACUACGGUUGGGGAAACCACAGUUGUGACCACGACAAAGACAUUGGUGUAUUAUGUGAUUUUAAAAGGUAAUAAAACUUAUCGUAUUUCUA